GGGCACGUAGAUCAGGGGUAGAUCGCUUCCUUGGCAUGGAAGAGGCCUCGGGUUCAAUUCCCGACGUGUCCA
rfam:Methanocella paludicola SANAE DNA, complete genome.